UACGAAGGGGGCUAGCGUUGCUCGGAAUUACUGGGCGUAAAGGGUGUGUAGGCGGAUAGUUUAGUCAGAGGUGAAAGCCCAGGGCUCAACCCUGGAAUUGCCUUUGAUACUGGCUAUCUUGAGUUCGGGAGAGGUAAGUGGAAUUCCUGGUGUAGCGGUGAAAUGCGCAGAUAUCAGGAAGAACACCCGUGGCGAAAGCGGCUCUCUGGAACGGUACUGACGCUGAGACGCGAAAGCGUGGGAGCGAACAGG
rnacentral:rRNA from 1 species